UAAUUUAUACGGUACCUAUGUAAAAGUUAAUAUCGGGGACCGAACUUCGCUCUGGAGUACGAAAGCAGGACCUCCUAAAUACCGGACAUGCGCCUGUGUGAAAAUCUAGGUAAAAUGACGGCGAUAGUUGGUGGAGUCUCAACUCAGCUGACACUGAUAUGUAUGCUGGCACUGGACGUGCACUUUAGCCAUUCGACCAAAGAUAAAGAGCUGAGGAAAAAAUGGACAAGGUGUAGAAAGAUUUUAAAGUCACCAACAAUUUGGCUGUGUGUAUCAAUCAUUUUAGAGCAUCAGGCAUUAUUAAAGAAGACAAGUUUUUGUGUGAAGAUGGUUUUUAUGUGACUAUUCCAAGAAA
rnacentral:lncRNA from 1 species